CAGCAGCCGCGGGAAUACCGAGGGUGCGAGCGUUAAUCGGAUUUACUGGGCGUAAAGCGUGCGUAGGCGGCUUUUUAAGUCGGAUGUGAAAUCCCUGAGCUUAACUUAGGAAUUGCAUUCGAUACUGGGAAGCUAGAGUAUGGGAGAGGAUGGUAGAAUUCCAGGUGUAGCGGUGAAAUGCGUAGAGAUCUGGAGGAAUACCGAUGGCGAAGGCAGCCAUCUGGCCUAAUACUGACGCUGAGGUACGAAAGCAUGGGGAGCAAACAGGAUUAGAUACCCGUGUAGUCCCUGUCUCUUAUAC
rnacentral:rRNA from 1 species